rnacentral:miRNA from 1 species
AGUGACCAGAAGACAAGUGUGAGCCUUCUAUUAUGCCAGGGCAGGGCCACCAGAGGGCUCCUUGGUCUAGCAGUAACGCCA